GACGAACGCUGGCGGCGUGCUUAACACAUGCAAGUCGAACGGAAAGGCCCUGCUUUUGUGGGGUGCUCGAGUGGCGAACGGGUGAGUAACACGUGAGUAACCUGCCCUUGACUUUGGGAUAACUUCAGGAAACUGGGGCUAAUACCGGAUAGGAGCUCCUGCUGCAUGGUGGGGGUUGAAAAGUUUCGGCGGUUGGGGAUGUACUCGCGGCUUAUCAGCUUGUUGGUGGGGUAGUGGCUUACCAAGGCUUUGACGGGUAGCCGGCCUGAGAGGGUGACCGGCCACAUUGGGACUGAGAUACGGCCCAGACUCCUACGGGAGGCAGCAGUGGGGAAUAUUGCACAAUGGGCGGAAGCCUGAUGCAGCAACGCCGCGUGCGGGAUGACGGCCUUCGGGUUGUAAACCGCUUUCGCCUGUGACGAAGCGUGAGUGACGGUAAUGGGUAAAGAAGCACCGGCUAACUACGUG
rnacentral:rRNA from 1 species